CUACGGGUCGCAGCAGUGGGGAAUCUUGCACAAUGGAGGAAACUCUGAUGCAGCGAUGCCGCGUGAGUGAAGAAGGCCCUUGGGUUGUAAAGCUCUUUUGUCGGGAAAGAUAAUGACUGUACCCGAAGAAUAAGGUCCGGCUAACUUCGUGCCAGCAGCCGCGGUAAUACGAAGGGACCUAGCGUAAUUCGGAAUUACUGGGCGUAAAGCGCGCGUAGGCGGUUAAGUAAGUUAAUUGUGAAAGCCCAAAGCUCAACUUUGGAAUUGCAAUUAAAACUACUUAGCUAGAGUUUAUCAGAGGAAAGCGGAAUACAUAGUGUAGAGGUGAAAUUCGUAGAUAUUAUGUAGAACACCAGUUGCGAAGGCGGCUUUCUGGGAUAACACUGACGCUGUGGUGCGAAAGUAUGGGUAGCGAAGAGGAUUAGAUACCCGAGUAGUC
rnacentral:rRNA from 1 species